CCCCCCUUCGCCGGACUCCUUUAGGAGAAAUAGCAGCACGCCAUGGUUUGUAGAGAUACGGUGAUACAAACCAUCGUGGGCUGUUACAUUUUCCUAAAGGGCACGCCGCCUAAAGUUG
rnacentral:precursor_RNA from 15 species